rnacentral:rRNA from 1 species
UACGUAGGGUGCGAGCGUUAAUCGGAAUUACUGGGCGUAAAGCGUGCGCAGGCGGUUUUGGAAGCCAGAUGUGAAAUCCCCGGGCUCAACCUGGGAAUGGCAUUUGGGACUGCAAGGCUGGAGUGUGGCAGAGGAGACUGGAAUUCCUGGUGUAGCAGUGAAAUGCGUAGAUAUCAGGAGGAAUACCGAUGGCGAAAGCGGCGCACUGGACCACAACUGACGCUGAGGCGCGAAAGCUAGGGGAGCAAGCAGG